GGAGUUAGCCGGUGCUUCUUCUGCGAGUAACGUCACAGAUGUAAGGUAUUAACUUACACCCUUUCCUCCUCGCUGAAAGUGCUUUACAACCCGAAGGCCUUCUUCACACACGCGGCAUGGCUGCAUCAGGGUUUCCCACAUUGUGCAAUAUUCCCCACUGCUGCCUCCCGUAGGAGUCUGGGCCGUGUCUCAGUCCCAGUGUGGCUGAUCAUCCUCUCAGACCAGCUAGGGAUCGUCGCCUAGGUGAGCCUUUACCUCACCUACUAGCUAAUCCCACCUGGGCUUAUCCAUCAGCGCAAGGCCCGAAGGUCCCCUGCUUUCCCCCGUAGGGCGUAUGCGGUAUUAGCAGUCGUUUCCAACUGUUAUCCCCCACAAAUGGGCAAAUUCCCAGGCAUUACUCACCCGUCCGCCGCUCGUCAUCUUCAAAAGCAAGCUUUUGAAAUGUUACCGAUCGACUUGCAUGUGUUAGGCCUGCCGCCAGCGUUCAAUCUGAGCCAGAAUCAAACUCUGA
rnacentral:rRNA from 1 species